CCUACGGGAGGCAGCAGUGGGGAAUUUUGGACGAUGGGGGAAACCCUGAUCCAGCCAUUCCGCGUGAGUGAAGAAGGCCUUCGGGUUGUAAAGCUCUUUCGGCAGGAACGAAACGGUUUGGGUUAAUACCUCAGACUACUGACGGUACCUGAAAAAGAAGCACCGGCUAACUACGUGCCAGCAGCCGCGGUAAU
rnacentral:rRNA from 1 species